UACGUAGGGGGCAAGCGUUGUUCGGAAUUACUGGGCGUAAAGGGCGCGUAGGCGGCACGGCAAGUCGGGAGUGAAAGCCCGGGGCUCAACCCCGGAACGUCUUUCGAAACUGCCGAGCUAGAGUGCGGAAGGGGCAACUGGAAUUCCCAGUAUAGCGGUGAAAUGCGUAGAUAUUGGGAAGAACACCUGAGGCGAAGGCGGGUUGCUGGGCCGACACUGACGCUGAGGCGCGAAAGCCAGGGGAGCGAACGGG
rnacentral:rRNA from 1 species